rnacentral:rRNA from 1 species
UUGGAGGGCAAGUCUGGUGCCAGCAGCCGCGGUAAUUCCAGCUCCAAUAGCGUAUAUUAAAGUUGUUGCAGUUAAAAAGCUCGUAGUUGAACUUCGGGGUCUACCCAUUGGUCAGGCUUAAUUGUCUGCACUGGUGAGAUGGAUCUCUACCUUCUGAGGAACUUUCAUGCCAUUUAUUUGGUGUGAUGGGAAAUCAGGACUGUUACUUUGAAAAAAUUAGAGUGUUUAAAGCAGACUAUCGUCUGAAUACAUUAGCAUGGAAUAAUGAAAUAGGACGGACUGAUUCUAUUUCGUUGGUUUCUAGGAUCACCGUAAUGAUUAAUAGGGAUAGUUGGGGGCAUUAGUAUUCAAUUGUCAGAGGUGAAAUUCUUGGAUUUAUUGAAGACUAACUGCUGCGAAAGCAUUUGCCAAGGAUGUUUUCAUUAAUCAAGAACGAAAGUUAGGGGAUCGAAGACGAUCAGAUACCGUCGUAGUCUUAACCAUAAACUAUGCCGACUAGGGAUCGGACGAANUUAAUUUUAUAAUGACGCGUUCGGCGCCUUACGGGAAAC